AUUGAACGCUGGCGGUAGGCUUAACACAUGCAAGUCGUGCGAGAAAGUAUCUUCGGAUAUGAGUAGAGCGGCGGACGGGUGAGUAACGCGUAGGAAUCUACCUAGUAGAAGGGGAUAGCCCGGGGAAACCCGGAUUAAUACCGUAUACCUCCUUCGGGAGAAAGAAGGCCUCUCUUUGAAGCUUUCGCUACUAGAUGAGCCUGCGUAAGAUUAGCUUGUUGGUGAGGUAAAGGCUCACCAAGGCUACGAUCUUUAGCUGGUCUGAGAGGACGAUCAGCCACAUUGGGACUGAGACACGGCCCAGACUCCUACGGGAGGCAGCAGUGGGGAAUAUUGGACAAUGGGCGCAAGCCUGAUCCAGCCAUACCGCGUGUGUGAAGAAGGCCUUCGGGUUGUAAAGCACUUUAAGCAGGGAGAAAAAGUUAUAAGUUAAUACCUUAUAACCCUGAUGUUACCUGCAGAAUAAGCACCGGCUAAUUCCGUGCCAGCAGCCGCGGUAAUACGGAAGGUGCAAGCGUUAAUCGGAAUUACUGGGCGUAAAGCGCGCGUAGGUGGUUUGUUAAGUUGGAUGUGAAAGCCCUGGGCUCAACCUAGGAACUGCAUCCAAAACUAACUCACUAGAGUACGAUAGAGGGAGGUAGAAUUCAUAGUGUAGCGGUGGAAUGCGUAGAUAUUAUGAAGAAUACCAGUGGCGAAGGCGGCCUCCUGGAUCUGUACUGACACUGAGGUGCGAAAGCGUGGGUAGCGAACAGGAUUAGAUACCCUGGUAGUCCACGCCGUAAACGAUGACAACUAGCUGUUGGGAGACUAUGUCUUUCAGUGGCGCAGCUAACGCUUUAAGUUGUCCGCCUGGGGAGUACGGCCGCAAGGCUA
rnacentral:rRNA from 1 species